UCAUGUAAUCAGUAAACCCUGCCCUCAUUAUUGUCAUGUAAUCAGUAAACCCUGCUCUCAGUCUGUCAUGGAAUCAGUAAACCCUGCUCUCAUUUCUGUCAUGGAAUCAGUAAACCCUGCUCUCAUAUCUGUCAUGGAAUCAGUUAACCCUGCUCUCAUUACUGUCAGGAAAUCAGUAAACCCUGCUCUCAUUACUGUCAGGAAAUCAGUUAACCCUGCUCUCAUAUCUGUCAUGGAAUCAGUAAACCCUGCUAUCAAUGUGUCAGGAAAUCAGUAAACCCUGCACUAAAAUUAACAAAAAAUAUGUUGCCUAGAUUUGGUCAUUUAAUUCAUGAUUGGUCUUUUGCUGUUCUUACAGAAUAACUGCCGAAUUUACGAACGCUCAACACCCACUGAAUAUGGCCGGUGUCGGUAAACGUUGGCAAAAAAAGCGUAAUUAAAUUGUUGCCAGCAGCACAGUUGCAUGAAAACAGCCUAACCAGCUCUGCUAGACUGAGUAAACUGGUCAGAGUGAGGUGUUCUCUCAUUGUGUGUCUGGAAGUAACUCGCAAGCUAGCCAACGUUAGCCAGUUAGCUUGGGUGCUUGACUGCUGUUGUAAGGGCAGAAUGCUCAAAUCAUCACUUCUCCUCGACCAGUGUGGCGCGCUGAACGCUCCGAGGGCGUAACACUCUGAAUUUAUGAAGGGACAAUCUGACAACGCUCUGAGUUUAUGAAUGCCCAGAAAACACUCUGGCACUCCAGAUAAAAUUUAUGAACACACCCGUUGUAUAAACCAGUCUUUAGUCUUGAAAUCUUUGGUUGUUUAGUACAUGGCCUCACAUGUGAAUCCUUAAAGAGAUGGGUGGGGCUAAAGUUUAAUUGUUGUUUUUUAAGUUGUAAAAUUCAAACUAGAUAAAGUAGUAGGUUCUAAUCUGUUUGGAGAAGGGGAUUGUAAAUACAGAUUGUUUUAGAUGAUUUUUACUUUUGCAUGCUGGAGACAAAUGUGAAACCAGCCAUGGAAGCAAACUGAAAACUCAAGGCUACCAACAAGUGCCCCUUUCACAAGUAUGGAAUGCUGUGACCAUAUGGAAUGCUGUGACCUUAUGGAAUGCUGUGACCUUACGGAAUGCUGUGACCUUACGGAAUGCUGUGACCUUACGGAAUGCUGUGACCUUACGGAAUGCUGUGACCUUACGGAAUGCUGUGACCUUAUGCAUCAUUUUAACUGUAUGGCCUUUUAACUUGCAGUGAUGAAAGUUGGAGAUGAAAGUUAAAUAGGUAGUCUACUGCAGCCUGGAGCACGUGGCCACUGUGUGACAAUAAUGCUAGUACAAACCCAGGCGCAGCGAAACACAGCAGGCAGGGGUAAAUCCAGAACAUUUACUGAGGUCUUCACAGAACAAAGGAAAGGACACCUGCACAGUAAUCAAAACAUGAGACCUAAGCAAAGAGAUCUGCCCACAGAGGAACCUAAAUAGCCAGUCAACAGGUGAACCGAGAGGGCAAUCAACACACAGG
ensembl:lncRNA